GGGGAUGUAGCUCAAAUAGUAGAGUGCUUGCUUUGCAUGCGAAAGGUAUGGGGUUUGAUACCCUGCAUCUCCU
rfam:Nelumbo nucifera unplaced genomic scaffold scaffold00043, whole genome shotgun sequence